UUCAGAGGCCUUCAAAACGUUCUACCUUCCUGCCCUGCUCUCACUAGCUCUAGACAUGACAGAGAGAGGCAGUGAGCUGUACUGCAGAGGAGGAGGCGAAGGAGGGGGGGGUGCUGGAGACAGGGCUCCAGAAACAGGUGCCUGGAUCGAUGGCCGCGCAGCACAUACUCUGCCUCUGAUUCUCAGGCCCCCCCGCUCAGUGUAUUUGACAAGCUGAGUUGGACACUCAAUUUGGUAUCAGUGUCAGUUUGUCAAAUACCCCAAGCGAGGGGCUGCUUCACACACUGCGGGUAGAGAGACCAGUCACCAGUGCCUAUGCUGUCAGUGAAGAAACCAAAUGGCAAGCGAUCAAACAUGCUUGCAUUCAAGCCUAUGCAGAAAAGGCAGCUACUUGCAUUUUACAGAGUUGCAAAAAUGUGAUUGUUUUAUGUUCAAAUACACCCCUUGAUUUUCCCCA